rnacentral:tRNA from 2 species
GGCGGCGUGGCCCAAUGGCAAGGCGCUUGACUACGAUUCGUUGGGAUCAAGAGAUUGCAGGUUCGACCCCUGCCGUCGUCA